UACGUAGGGGGCAAGCGUUGUCCGGAUUUAUUGGGCGUAAAGAGCGUGUAGGCGGCUGGGUAGGUCCGUUGUGAAAACUCGAGCUCAACCUCGAGACGCCGAUGGAAACCCUCCAGCUAGAGUCCGGGAGAGGAGAGUGGAAUUCCUGGUGUAGCGGUGGAAAUGCGCAGAUAUCAGGAAGAACACCCGUGGCGAAGGCGGCUCUCUGGAACGCAACUGACGCUGAGACGCGAAAGCGUGGGGAGCAAACAG
rnacentral:rRNA from 1 species